CCUACGGGAGACAGCAGUAGGGAAUAUUGCUCAAUGGGGGAAACCCUGAACCAGCAACGCCGCGUGGAGGAUGAAGGUUUUCGGCUUGUAAACUUCUUUUGUUAGAGCAGAUAAUGACGGUAUCUAACGAAUAAGCACCGGCUAACUCCGUGCCAGCAGCCGCGGUAAUACGGAGGGUGCAAGCGUUACUCGGAAUCACUGGGCGUAAAGAGCGCGUAGGCGGGAUAGCAAGUCAGAUGUGAAAUCCUAGGGCUUAACCAUAGAACUGCAUUGGAAACUGUUAUUCUGGAGUAUAGGAGAGGUAAGUGGAAUUCUUGGGGUAGGGGUAAAAUGCGGAGAGAUCAAGAGGAAUACUCAUUGCGAAGGCGACCUGCUAGAACAUAACUGACGUUGAUGCGCGAAGGCGUGGGGAGCAAACAGGAUUAGAUACCCCAGUAGUC
rnacentral:rRNA from 1 species